UGGUUUAAUAAGUCUGAAGUUAAAGGCAUUGGCUCAACCAAUGUACGCUUUGGAAACUGUUAAACUUGAGUGCAGAAGGGGAGAGUGGAAUUCCAUGUGUAGCGGUGAAAUGCGUAGAUAUAUGGAGGAACACCGGUGGCGAAAGCGGCUCUCUGGUCUGUAACUGACACUGAGGCUCGAAAGCGUGGGUAGCGAACAGGAUUAGAUACCCUGGUAGUCCACGCCGUAAACGAUGAGUGCUAGGUGUUGGGUCCUUUCCGGGACUCAGUGCCGCAGCUAACGCAUUAAGCACUCCGCCUGGGGAGUACGACCGCAAGGUUGAAACUCAAAGGAAUUGACGGGGGCCCGCACAAGCGGUGGAGCAUGUGGUUUAAUUCGAAGCUACGCGAAGAACCUUACCAGGUCUUGACAUCUUGCGCUAACCUUAGAGAUAAGGCGUUCCCUUCGGGGACGCAAUGACAGGUGGUGCAUGGUCGUCGUCAGCUCGUGUCGUGAGAUGUUGGGUUAAGUCCCGCAACGAGCGCAACCCUUGUUACUAGUUGCCAGCAUUAAGUUGGGCACUCUAGUGAGACUGCCGGUGACAAACCGGAGGAAGGUGGGGACGACGUCAGAUCAUCAUGCCCCUUAUGACCUGGGCUACACACGUGCUACAAUGGACGGUACAACGAGUCGCAAGCUCGCGAGAGUAAGCUAAUCUCUUAAAGCCGUUCUCAGUUCGGACUGUAGGCUGCAACUCGCCUACACGAAGUCGG
rnacentral:rRNA from 1 species